CGGCUAUAAAAGACCUGAAUGUAUUUAAUCGGACAGUACAACUGCGACCGCUCAAGAUCAUUCACCAUGAAGUUCGUGCUGUACCUCCUCGUUCUGUUGCCCCUGGCAUUCUGUGUGGAAGGAAGCUUUAUGCAUGAAGUGUACGACCC